CCUUCUCCAGAGGAUCUUCCCAACCCAGGGAUCGAACCCAGGUCUCUCCGCAUUGCAGUCGGAUUCUUGACCAGCUGAGCCACAGGGGUUGCCCCAAAUGUUCUAAACGUUAGGUCAUUUCUAAAUAAGUUUUUGUGAUUAAAAACGACAAGUCGGAGAAGGAUGAAAUGUGAUUUGAGAGUGACAGAAAGGGAUUGUAUACCUGGGACUCGUGUACCUGGAGCUAAGAGAAUGGCCCCAACCGCUGGGGCCAAAGCGGAAGACUAGACUUACGCUGUCAAUAACUACAAACCUGGUCAACUAAGGAGUGUUUGAACCCGCACUAACUGCCCAGGGAACAUGCUGUCCUUCGGUUUCCCAGUGGGGAUCGCUGGAACCCAGUCAAAGCCCUCGAAGAGCAGACCCACGAAGGCUGAGGAUGAUGGAGAGGGGAUGGGGAUGUGACUUCAUCAUGGUGUAAUUAGACUGAUUUCCUGAUGCUGAAUAUUCACUGAUGCUGGAAGGACCGAAGCUGAAACUUCAGUAAUUUGGCUACCUGAUGCAAAAAGCUGACUCGCUGGC